UACGUAGGGGGCAAGCGUUGUCCGGAUUUAUUGGGCGUAAAGAGCGUGUAGGCGGCCUGACAAGUCUGCUGUGAAAACUCGAGGCUCAACCUCGGGCUUGCAGUGGAUACGGGCAGACGUAGAGUGCGGUAGGGGAGACUGGGAAUUCCUGGUGUAGGCGGUGGAAGUGCGCAGAUAUCAGGAAGAACACCCGUGGCGGAAGGCGGCUCUCUGGGACGGUACUGGACGCUGAGACGCGAAAGCGUGGGGGGCAAACAGG
rnacentral:rRNA from 1 species